CUCUGUUGCUUGGUAACCACAAAUUCUGGAGGCCCAGGAAGAGCAGCUGGAGCAGGAUUCACGCAGCACUGAGGUUCUCAAACUCAUAUCCCUCAGGGUCUGCUGCGAUUUGGCCUGGCAAUCUGACAAUGGGCGUUAGGAAGGAUGUGGACAUGGGUGGUACAGCCAUCAAUUAUUGGCUUUCAUAAUUAACCAGUUGAGUCGCUUGCUACACCACACCUAGCAACUAUGAAGGACGUUUUAUGCCUGAAUGAGAUUAUCAGCAUCAUGACAACAUUGAUCGUCCUCUUCUGUCACGUUCCCUGGUCAAUCGGAAGGAGACACAAGGAAGAUUUUUUUUCCCAAAUGAGUCACCAGGGUAUUAAAUGCCAAC